UACGUAGGGAGCAAGCGUUGUCCGGAUUAUUGGGCGUAAAGAGCGUGUAGGCGGCCAGGUAGGUCCGUUGUGAAAACUCGAGGCUCAACCUCGAGACGUCGAUGGAAACCAUCUGGCUAGAGUCCGGAAGAGGCGAGUGGAAUUCCCGGUGUAGCGGUGAAAUGCGCAGAUAUCGGGAGGAACACCAGUAGCGAAGGCGGCUCGCUGGGCCAUUCCUGACGCUGAGGCGCGAAAGCCAGGGGA
rnacentral:rRNA from 1 species